GUUAAUGAAGUCUUAUUUUUGUAAUUUAGUACUCAUAACGUCAUCGUUUUAAAACUCAACAAGGCUGAUCUAGGUUCUCCUGCUCUUGGACAAGGUGUUGUUUAUAGAUUAAAGGUACUACGAGGAGAUAAUAGUGGCCUUGCAAAUGAUAUUCGAAAAGAAAUGAAGGCAUUGAAUGGAAAGCUAUUGAAAACUAAAGACAAAAGUACAAGGAGAGACAUACAAAGGGAACAUAGAACUCUAUCCAAAGAAGAGCAUAA